rnacentral:rRNA from 1 species
ACGGGUGAGUAACAUGUGGGUAAUCUACCUCCAGGAGUGGGACAACCCGGGGAAACCUGGGCUAAUACCACGUGAUGUCUCGAGGGUCUCGGCCCUUGCGACCAAAUGAUGGCCUCUGCUUGCAAGCUAUCGCCCGGAGAUGAGCCCACAUCCUAUCACGCUUGUUGGUGAGGUAACGGCCCACCAAGGCGACGACGGGUAGCCGGCCUGAGAGGGUGUCCGGCCACACUGGAACUGCGACACGGUCCAGACUCCUACGGGAGGCAGCAGUGGGGAAUAUUUCGCAAUGGGCGCAAGCCUGACGAAGCAACGCCGCGUGGAGGAUGACGGCCCUAGCGGUCUUAAACUCCUGUCUAGUGGGAAGAAAGAUUUGCAGGCAAAUAGUCUGCAGAUUUGACGGUACCGCUGGAGGAAGCUCCGGCCAACUCCGUGCCAGCAGCCGCGGUAAUACGGAGGGAGCAAGCGUUACUCGGAAUUACUGGGCGUAAAGGGCGCGUAGGCGGUCUUGUAAGUCCUGUGUGAAAGCCCCGGGCCUAACCCGGGAAGUGCACGGGAAACUGUGAGACUUGAGUGCAGGAGAG